AAAUGGUGUAGCAUAUGGUAAGUACUUUAAAAUAAUUUACUUAAUACAAGUUUUUAGCAUUAUAAAAGUAACAAUAGGCUAUCUUAAAAUAUCACUAAGGAAAAAAAACCUAAUUGCUAUAAAAAAAUCUGUAAUAGUGUGGGGUUUUAAGGAGAUUUUUUUUUCUUGAUUGUCAUGUGAAAUCAGAGAGUGAGAGACAGGCAGUGUAGAGUUCACAGACAGCAAGAGGCACAAGAUCCUAACCCUCCUCUGCUCCCUUAAGGGUAUUUGGAUCAUGUAGACACAAGGUACCUGGUAGAAUUUCAAGCCGGCAGUUUUGAUACUAGGCUGUUAAGAAGAAAGGAGAGAAAAUUAUGAGUAUGAUAGUUCAAACGUUCCAAUUAUUAUGCUUUCAAAAGAUCCCAGUUGAAUACCACAUUUCUCUAAUGAAAAUUUUAUUAAAGACCACUAGGUGUGAUGCUAGCAAUUAAGAAAGGUUGGAUGGUUAUUUUAUGGUUAACAUGCAGUUACUACUGCCGAAGCUUAAAAAACUCAACUUCAAAGCAAGUUGCUAAUCUCUGAAAUCACUGUGAAUUUUACUCAAAUUAUACAGAUUACCUUAAAAAUGUAAAACGCAAUUGUCACCCAUGAGUUGGUUAUACACCUUUCAAAAUGAAGACAUCUUAAUACCUGGGGAAUCACAAAGAAAUUGCUAGAUAUUUUUUUCAAAUCUAAUUUACUAUAUGGCAUAUCUAUAUUUACCAGGUAUGUUUUGGAGGCAUUUCAGUAGUGAGUCAACUGUCAUCCCAACUGUGUAGACAAUUGUUUUAAUACAGAAAGGAAAGCAUUAGAAGAGGAACCAGUGAGUUUAUUGUUAAGCACUCUUGAUAUUGAGCUCAGAAAAUAUUUUUUUUUUCUCAAGCAGGUGAAAUGUCUCAGCAGUUAGAAGAAAGUGUGACAGAAGCACACCUGAUAACUGAAAUUCCAUCCCUAGAACCCACACGGUGAGAAGCAACACCCACUCCUCAAGGCUGCCUUCUGAUCUCUUCAUGGGCAGCAUUGAACAUGUACACAUGUCUGCACACAUGCACACAUGCAUUAAUAAAUAACACCUUUUAAAAAGAAAUGGUUUUCAGACUUAUAUGCUCUCAGGUUCAUGUGGGUGUUGCAAUAAGGAAACAAACUCUGUGGAUUAAGUCAGAAGAAGUGAAGCUGAUCAUGGAGAGAAACAUGUCUGCAGUCAGCAUGUGGAAGGAUGAUUCAGGAAAUGGAGGACCUGAAAGGCAGAUUAGGAUGGAAUGAGACCCUGUUCCAAAGAAAACAAAAUGAGAUGUACCUCCAAUGGAAAAAUUCACACAUCCAGAGCCUAGAUUCUGAAAUCCAAACAUCCAAAAUGAAUUCAAGUCUAACCAGUCGUCUUUUUUUCCUAAAAUAUCCGGACAGUUUAUGCAUAUAAAAUUUCAAUGUGGUUUAUAUAGCGAUUAUCAUUUAGCAUAUUAACCCCAAAUAAUGAAAGCCAAGCCGAGCUGGAUAAAUUGAAUUUGUAAUCACUGCAUGCCAACUUACAAACAUAUUUAAAUAAUACAUUUCUAGGGAAACAUCACAGCUCUGUAUGAUAAACCCAGGCAUAUGCCAUCAAGGAUACAAUGACAUCCCUUGUCUUUCAGGACCCUACAGGUUUCCUGUCUCCUGCAUUGGGCAUAACAAGGCCAUUUCUUGCCAAAGGAAUGUUUUUAUUAUCCAAUUUUGCAUGCUGACUUGUUUGUAAGUACCAUCUUGUUAGAUGUUUGCUGAAGAGUUUUCUUUUACAUCUGUGGUUUGAUAUUAAAAUGUGUUCCAU
rnacentral:lncRNA from 1 species